rnacentral:misc_RNA from 1 species
UCAGUGCGGGCACAGCCAACGGAUUGGCGUAUUGCGUGGUGCUCGCUUCCGCGGCGACACCGUAGCUGUAAUCCUUCUCCCUGGUGCCGGCGGCAAGCGCGGUGUCCGUGCCGAUGAAUCCACUGCCGCCGAUGCCGGUGCCGUUCGAGAAUUGGGGAUUGGUGUCAAACCCGCCGCGCAGACGAAGCGACGCAACGAAAUCGUCCUCGGCAUGUGCAGUGCUUGCAACAAGACCGAUGACGCCAGCCCACACCACCAAUCUCAGCACGAUGUUCACCCCGCAAAAAUAUCGCGUGGGUGUGAUUACCGGCCGGUGUGGUUAGCGAC